UACGUAGGGUGCGAGCGUUAGUCGGAAUUACUGGGCGUAAAGCGUGCGCAGGCGGUUUUGUAAGUCAGAUGGGAAAUCCCCGGGCUUAACCUGGGAAUGGCAUUUGGGACUGCAAGGCUCGAGUGCGGCAGAGGGGACUGGAAUUCCUGGUGUAGCAGUGAAAUGUGUAGAUAUCAGGAGGAACACCGAUGGCGAAGGCAGGUCUCUGGGCUGACACUGACGCUCAUGCACGAAAGCGUGGGGAGCAAACAGG
rnacentral:rRNA from 1 species